rnacentral:rRNA from 2 species
UUUUAUGGAGAGUUUGAUCCUGGCUCAGAGUGAACGCUGGCGGCGUGCCUAAUACAUGCAAGUCGAACGAUGAAGCUUCUAGCUUGCUAGAAGUGGAUUAGUGGCGCACGGGUGAGUAAGGUAUAGUUAAUCUGCCCUACACAAGAGGACAACAGUUGGA